AACAUAUGGCGCUUUUGUCAAACCAUUACCGAUGGACAGCGCAAGUUAGCCAGCCUCGCUACCUAUAAUUGCGGGAACGCCGAGGGAAAUGGCCUCGGCCUCCCUAAGUAACCGGAAAAAUCCUUCGGUUUGUUCGGAACUCGAGUGCGGGCUGCCGUUGCCGCCCGCCGCUCCCCCCAACCCUUCUCCUCCUCAUUUUUUGGCAAUCCAGCGAUCCCUAUCCGGAAAAGGGGUAAAAUCGAUUUUUUCCCCCUUUUUAAUCGUUUGAUGGGUCUAGGUAUGGGAUUUCUCGAGGAAAUCGAGCAGUAGACGAAGCUUUUCGAGUUUCCGGUGAAGAAGAAUGGAUUGGUGCCGUGGGAGCCAGAAAACCGAGGACAGGGGCGGGUCCCCCGUUGUUGAGGGGCCUGUUAAUGGAUUAAAUAAGAGGGAACAGGAGGAAGACGAGAGGAGAUCUCUUUUGGCGCCGGCUGCCAAGGGAGGGAUGGCCGGAAAGAGGAAAAGAUCUGGGAGGAGGAAGGUCCAGUGGAACGAUUCCGGUGGGAACAAACUCGCUGAAGUUUUGGAAUUCCAACCCAGUGAUUCAAGCGACUCGGAGGAUGAAUAUUUGGAUUUUUGUGUAUGUACAAUAAUGUAAAUCUUUUUUACGCAACAUUGUUACAGCUUAAGCUGGGUCUUCAGAAAUGGCAGAAAAUAUGACAUCUGGUCAUGUUUGAAGUUGCUGGUUGCCACGUUUUUGGCUUUUGUUUUUUUUUUUUGGAAUGUGACGCACUCGUUUUUGUUGAGAUGGCAUUCUCUCAUCCACAAGAA